rnacentral:rRNA from 1 species
AAUUCGCCCUUAGAGUUUGAUCCUGGCUCAGGACGAACGCUGGCGGCGUGCUUAACACAUGCAAGUCGAACGAGAAUCUGAUGAAGGAGUUUUCGGACAACGGAUUCAGAGGACAGUGGCGGACGGGUGAGUAACGCGUGAGGAACCCGCCUUUCAGAGGGGGACAACAGUUGGAAACGACUGCUAAUACCGCAUAACACAUCGGAGUCGCAUGGCUCUGAUGUCAAAGAUUUAUCGCUGAAAGAUGGCCUCGCGUCUGAUUAGCUAGUUGGUGAGGUAACGGCCCACCAAGGCGACGAUCAGUAGCCGGACUGAGAGGUUGACCGGCCACAUUGGGACUGAGAUACGGCCCAGACUCCUACGGGAGGCAGCAGUGGGGAAUAUUGGGCAAUGGGCGCAAGCCUGACCCAGCAACGCCGCGUGAAGGAAGAAGGCUUUCGGGUUGUAAACUUCUUUUGUCAGGGACGAGUAGAAGACGGUACCUGACGAAUAAGCCACGGCUAACUACGUGCCAGCAGCCGCGGUAAUACGUAAGUGGCAAGCGUUGUCCGGAUUUACUGGGUGUAAAGGGCGUGUAGCCGGGAGGGCAAGUCAGAUGUGAAAUCCACGGGCUCAACUCGUGAACUGCAUUUGAAACUACUCUUCUUGAGUAUCGGAGAGGCAAUCGGAAUUCCUAGUGUAGCGGUGAAAUGCGUAGAUAUUAGGAGGAACACCAGUGGCGAAGGCGGAUUGCUGGACGACAAACUGACGGUGAGGCGCGAAAGCGUGGGGAGCAAACAGGAUUAGAUACCCUGGUAGUCCACGCUGUAAACGAUGAAUACUAGGUGUGCGGGGACUGACCCCCUGCGUGCCGCAGCUAACGCAAUAAGUAUUCCACCUGGGGAGUACGAUCGCAAGGUUGAAACUCAAAGGAAUUGACGGGGGCCCGCACAAGCGGUGGAUUAUGUGGUUUAAUUCGAAGCAACGCGAAGAACCUUACCAGGGCUUGACAUCCUACUAACGAGAUAGAGAUAUGUUAGGUGCCCUUCGGGGAAAGUAGAGACAGGUGGUGCAUGGUUGUCGUCAGCUCGUGUCGUGAGAUGUUGGGUUAAGUCCCGCAACGAGCGCAACCCCUAUUGUUAGUUGCUACCAUUAAGUUGAGCACUCUAGCGAGACUGCCCGGGUUAACCGGGAGGAAGGUGGGGAUGACGUCAAAUCAUCAUGCCCCUUAUGUCUAGGGCUACACACGUGCUACAAUGGCAAGUACAAAGAGAAGCAAGACCGCGAGGUGGAGCAAAACUCAAAAACUUGUCUCAGUUCGGAUUGUAGGCUGAAACUCGCCUACAUGAAGCUGGAGUUGCUAGUAAUCGCGAAUCAGCAUGUCGCGGUGAAUACGUUCCCGGGCCUUGUACUCACCGCCCGUCA